GACGGAGGAGGCAAGCGUUAUCCGGAAUUAUUGGGCGUAAAGCGUCCGUAGGUGGUUAUUGAAGUCUUUAGUUAAAGGUUAGAGCUUAACUCUAAAUAGGCUAAGGAAACUGAGUAACUAGAGUGCGGUAGGGGUAGAGGGAAUUCCUGGUGUAGCGGUGAAAUGCGUAGAUAUCAGGAAGAACACCAGUGGCGAAGGCGCUCUACUGGGCCGUAACUGACACUGAGGGACGAAAAGCUAGGGGAGCGAAAGGG
rnacentral:rRNA from 1 species